UGGGUUUUUUGUGAUGUUACAAAAGCACUUGGCAACUGAGUAGAUAUAAAGGCAGGCCAAGGGGAAAGCCCUUUUCUGUUUCCAGCAGGACACACCUGGCAAUGGAUGUGACAUUCAGCACUGCCCAGGUUUCUUCCACUUGGAGGAGGCAAACUGGUGAAUGGAAGGAGGCAAUCCUCUGGCAGUGGGAUGCUGGGGAGUGAUAAUAAGGCAAGUUUGCUUGCUUGAAGGCUGCUGGUAUCCAUGGUUGGAAGCUGGCGGACGUCUCAUGAUGGACCUAACAGUAGCUUCUGGGACAAUGGGACACCGUGACGGAAACCAGAGCACACGGAAACGCCGUCUACCUUCUCACCACAGCGAUACCUAAAGUAUGUAUCUACUUGCACUGACCUGGAAACUCAGCCAGAUGGGCGAGAUAUAAAUAUAUUAUUAUUAUUAUUAUUAUUAUUAUUAUUAUUAUUACCUCCCGUGGGAGACCAUUCUUGGGCAUUUUGCUUGUGAAAAGGAGACAUGCUCUACAGCAGGCUGUCCCACUUCCAAGAGACUGUGAUCUACAACCACUAUAUAUAAAAACUGGCAGUGAUCCACCCAUUGGAUGACCAGAGUUGUUGAGCUUGUUUGGGGAAAGCUUCAUCAAAGUUGUUGAUCUUUUUUGUUUUGACCAGGAUCGACCAGGGGCAGCCCAUGAUUGCAUGAUUGACCAGUAGAUCGCGAAAGUUCAGUUGUGAUCCCUGCCAUGUGCAGUUAAAAGGAUCAGGGAUCAGAACUGUCGAAGACCCUCUCUCUGCUUUGCUUCAGAUCCUGAUUAGUUGUUGUCAAUCAAAGGAGGUAAUGCUAGGCUAGAUGGACCAAUGGCGUCAUGUGGUGAAGGACAGCAUCCUGUCCUUUACCAGUGAUGGUGUGAAUCUGCCAAUUCCUGCCACCCAAAAAUGCCUCUUCCUGGUUCAAACUAGGCCCAGCCCCCCCACCCCCUGAACUCAGGUCCAUUUCAAAAUCAAGUUCAUCUCAACUGCUAGCCAGCUCUCUCUGGCAGUGCACCCUUCUUUCCAAGCAAGAAAAACAACUACAGGGACAGAGAAGGUUACAACUGUUGCCAGAGAUAACUUCCUAGAGACAGGAGAAGACUUCUGACCUUCUUGUAAACUGGAUGUGGCACUCCUAAGCAUCACCAGGUUUUAUUUAUUUGUUUUACUUUAUUACUUCAUUUCUAUCCUGCCUUUCCUCCAUGGACCUCAAGGCAUCAUAGAUAGUUCUCCCCCUCUUCACAGGAGUCUCACAACAGCUCUGUAAGUCAGGCUGAGACAUAGUGACCUGGGUCGCAUGACACAAUAAGUCAAAUCUAUACCACAAGAGGGACGCAGGUGGCGCUGUGGGUUAAACCUCAGAGCCUAGGACUUGCCGAUCAGAAGGCUGGCGGUUCGAAUCCCCGCAACGGGGUGAGCUCCCGUUGCUUGGUCCCAGCUCCUGCCAACCUAGCAGUUCGAAAGCACGUCAAAACUGCAAGUAGAUAAAUAGGUACCGCUCCGGCGGGAAGGUAAAAGGCGUUUCCGUGCACUGCUCUGGUUUGCCAGAAGCUGCUUAUUCCUGCUGGCCACAUGACUGUACACCGGCUCCCUUGGCCAAUAAAGCGAGAUGAGCGCCGCAACCCCAGAGUCGGUCACGACUGGACCUAAUGGUCAGGGGUCCCUUAACCUUUAUACCACAAGAGCUUGCAGGCUCCAAGAGAGGGGCUCACAGCUGAACUGAGUUAAGCAAAAGUUCCCUGAUUAGGGAAGCUUUUAAUGUUUGAUGUAUUACAGUAUUUUAAUAUUUUUUUGGAAGCCGCCCAGAGUGGCUGGGGAAGCCCAGCCAGAUGGGCGGGGUAUAAAUAAUAAUAAUAAUUAUUAUUAUUAUUAUUAAAGUUCAGCUUAGUAUGUCAUCUGAACUGGGUGUCAUGGUUAAUGGCUCUCCUCACUAACCACAGCCAGGAACAAAUCUUGUGUGGGUUAGCAUUUUCCAUGAGAGAGAGAGAGAGCUUCAGAGCUUCAGAGAGAGAGAGAGAGGGAGAGGAAGAAUGGUUUUCAAGGCAAGCCAAGGGAAAUUUGCUCAUCAUUAGCUAAAAAGAGAUUUUCCACUAGCUUUCUUAUCCGCACUUCAAGAUGUUGGGAAGCUUUGGUUAAGCAGGUCAAAGAACACAGCAGAAGGGAAGUGAGAAGAUGUAGAAACCAAAGUCUUUCAAAGUGAAGGUCAAAAGAUACUGUUUUAUGAGCUAUAAAGGGGGGGGGGAAGCUUCCUAGAUAAUAUACAGUAUAUAAGGAAGGACAAAAAACGAGUGAGAAAAUUGUUCUCGCAAGAGAACAUGACAUAAUUAAUGUCACAUGUAGCUCAAUCCUGGGCCUCCCUGAAAGAGAGAUGUUCAUCAACUUGCCUUUAAUGAAAGGAUCCCAUGCUACUCUGAUUAUUAAACCUGAUCUGUUUCAAAUGCAUUUUCUCCUAGCCGGAAUGUCAAAGUCUCAUUACAGAAGUGCAGGAACUGGAUCAAUAAGGGAUGCUCACAUCUGCAUUUCUUAUACAUUUUAGACAGGUUGAAGGCUAUGAAUUGCACAAGGAUGUUGUGUGGAGUGGACUAUUUUUCCAACCUGAAAUCUGACCUGAAAUGCUGCGCCCACAAACCUUUUUCCAUACUUCCCCCCACUCUGCAACUUUACUCAGAAAUCAGUCUAUCAAACUGCAUUCAUUUACCUUCAUAAUCUGACCUGACGCAACCAAGAGGCAAAGUGAAAUUUAUGGUAGAAGCAAAUGUCCUUUCUAAAGGGGAGGGGGAGCUGCAGCGCUGGCAGCAGAAGUUAGGACUGGGUAAAUUCUGCACUGAAGGUUCCACAGGGCCAAAGAGCAUUCCCCAAGCAUCACCCUCUGGGAAUGACUAUAUCCAAGGAGGACUGGAACCAUCACAAAGUAGUGCCACCUAUUCCUAACUCAAACAGCCUCUCCAGAAGAUACUGUCAUUGAUGAUAUCAAAAGCCACUGAGAGACUGAGGAAAAUUAACUUGGACACUUAUCCCCCCCCCACACACAAUCUCUUUCCUGGCAGAGGCAAUAAUGCAUGGCAACCAAAGCAGUUUCUGUGCCAAAACUGGGCCUAAAUCCUGAUUGAAAUGGAUCUAGAAGUACUGGAGUACUGUGUCCAGUUCUGGGCACCACAGUUCAAGAAGGACACUGACAAACUGGAACGUGUCCAGAGGAGGGCAACCAUAAUGGUCAAAGGCCUGGAAACGAUGCCUUAUGAGGAACGGCUAAGGGAGCUGGGCAUGUUUAGCCUGGAGAAGAGGAGGUUAAGGGGUGAUAUGAUAGCCAUGUUCAAAUAUAUAAAAGGAUGUCACAUAGAGGAGGGAGAAAGGUUGUUUUCUGCUGCUCCAGAGAAGCGGACACGGAGCAAUGGAUCCAAACUACAAGAAAGAAGAUUCCACCUCAACAUUAGGAAGAACUUCCUGACAGUAAGAGCUGUUCGACAGUGGAAUUCGCUGCCAAGGAGUGUGGUGGAGUCUCCUUCUUUGGAGGUCUUUAAGCAGAGGCUUGACAACCAUAUGUCAGGAGUCCUCUGAUGGUGUUUCCUGCUUGGCAGGGGGUUGGACUCGAUGGCCCUUGUGGUCUCUUCCAACUCUAUGAUUCUAUGAUUCUAGAAAAACAGUUUCCUUCAAGAGUGCCUGGAUCUGGUCUGUGACCACCUACUCAAGAACCUUGCCCAAGAAGGGGAGAUUGGUUGUUCUCUGUGGAAAGAAAACUAUAUGAAAAUGAUGUACAGAUGGUAUACCACACCAGUACAAAUAGCAAAAAUGUACAAAACCAGAUCAAACAUAUGCUGGAAAUGUAAAGAAAAAGACAGUAGUUUUUAUCAUAUGUGGUGGGAAUGUAGAGAACUUUAAAAAUUUGGGGAAAUGAUAUAUAAUGAAUUGGAAAAAAAUGUUUAAAAUGACAUUUGUAAAAAAAACCAGAAGCAUUUUUGUUAGGGAUUGUAGGACAAGACCUGCCAAGAAAAAUAAAGAAUUUGUUUAUGUUUGCUACAACAGCAGCAAGAAUCUUGUUAGCACAAGGGUGGAAGAAUGAGGAAAUCCCAACGAAAGAACAGUGGCAAAAAAACUGAUGAGCUAUGCGGAACUGGCCAAUUUGACAUACAAACUGAGUGAUAAGGACAAUCGUGACUUCAAAGAAGAAUGGGAACUUUUUACAAAUUACCUAAAAAGACAACAAAAUGAUUUGGACUCCUUGGCAGGUUUUGAAUAAACAUCCACAAAUUUAUUAGUUGAAUACAUGAUAGACAAGGCAAAGAUAUGUACAAUUUUAUAAUAUGCAGAAAACAAUAUGUGCAAAAAAACCAGAGAGG
rnacentral:lncRNA from 1 species